rnacentral:rRNA from 1 species
AGAGUUUGAUCCUGGCUCAGGACGAACGCUGGCGGCGUGCUUAACACAUGCAAGUCGAACGGAGCACCUUCGAAAGAGACUUCGGUCAAUGGAAAAGAAUGCUUAGUGGCGGACGGGUGAGUAACGCGUGAGGAACCUGCCUUUCAGUGGGGGACAACAGUUGGAAACGACUGCUAAUACCGCAUAACGUACGGGUAUCGCAUGGUAUCUGUACCAAAGAUUUAUCGCUGAGAGAUGGCCUCGCGUCUGAUUAGCUAGUUGGUAGGGUAACGGCCUACCAAGGCGACGAUCAGUAGCCGGACUGAGAGGUUGGCCGGCCACAUUGGGACUGAGAUACGGCCCAGACUCCUACGGGAGGCAGCAGUGGGGAAUAUUGGGCAAUGGGCGAAAGCCUGACCCAGCAACGCCGCGUGAAGGAAGAAGGCUUUCGGGUUGUAAACUUCUUUUGACAGGGAAGAGCAGAAGACGGUACCUGUCGAAUAAGCCACGGCUAACUACGUG